rnacentral:lncRNA from 1 species
CGAAUACAUUUAAUGCAUGUCAAAAUCUAUUUUUCAAUUUUAACGUGACGAAAAUACCCUUUCCCUUUAAGAUGACUUUUUUACUAUCUUGCUGUCUGGUUGGAUAUUUCGAAUAUUACUCUUCUCUCUUUUCUUUCUCGAUUUGUUGAGCUUCUAUCCAUCCAAGAAAAAAAUUUUCUGUCACAAUUCUGCAUUCGAUGCUCUAGAGGUU